AUUGAACGCUGGCGGCAGGCUUAACACAUGCAAGUCGAGCGGAGCGAGGGUGCUUGCACCUUAGCUUAGCGGCGGACGGGUGAGUAAUGCUUAGGAAUCUGCCUAUUAGUGGGGGACAACAUUCCGAAAGGAAUGCUAAUACCGCAUACGCCCUACGGGGGAAAGCAGGGGAUCUUCGGACCUCGCGCUAAUAGAUGAGCCUAAGUCGGAUUAGCUAGUUGGUAGGGUAAAGGCCUACCAAGGCGACAAUCUGUAGCGGGUCUGAGAGGAUGAUCCGCCACACUGGGACUGAGACACGGCCCAGACUCCUACGGGAGGCAGCAGUGGGGAAUAUUGGACAAUGGGCGGAAGCCUGAUCCAGCCAUGCCGCGUGUGUGAAGAAGGCCUUUUGGUUGUAAAGCACUUUAAGCGAGGAGGAGGCUACUUAGAUUAAUACUCUGGGAUAGUGGACGUUACUCGCAGAAUAAGCACCGGCUAACUCUGUGCCAGCCGCCGCCGUAAGAC
rnacentral:rRNA from 1 species